GCCUUUGUGGCUACCUGGGACAGUGUGCCGUACUACAGUGAUGAAGGGUUGGUUACUUUCCAAGUAGUUUUAGUCUCCAAUGGUGAACGCUCUUUCAUCCUGAUCAACUAUGGUGAUAUUGCACAAACAGGACAAGUUUGGCUGGCUGGUUAUGACACAGUGGACUCUGUCAAUUCUUUCACAAUUCCAGCAGCCAGUGCCCCAGAACUCUCAUACAGCAGUAAUAUCAAUGUGAAUGGUC